rnacentral:rRNA from 1 species
UACGUAGGGUGCGAGCGUUGUCCGGAAUUAUUGGGCGUAAAGAGCUUGUAGGCGGUUUGUCGCGUCUGCUGUGAAAAUCCGGGGCUCAACCCCGGACUUGCAGUGGGUACGGGCAGACUAGAGUGUGGUAGGGGAGACUGGAAUUCCUGGUGUAGCGGUGGAAUGCGCAGAUAUCAGGAGGAACACCGAUGGCGAAGGCAGGUCUCUGGGCCACUACUGA